GACGAACGCUGGCGGCGUGCCUAACACAUGCAAGUCGAACGGAACUAAUUUGACUGAUUCCUUCGGGAUGAAGAAUUUUUAGUUUAGUGGCGGACGGGUGAGUAACGCGUGAGUAACCUGCCUCUGAGAGGGGAAUAACGUUCUGAAAAGAACGCUAAUACCGCAUAACACAUAUUUGCCGCAUGACAGAUAUGUCAAAGAAUUUAUCGCUCGGAGAUGGACUCGCGUCCGAUUAGUUAGUUGGUGAGGUAACGGCUCACCAAGACCGCGAUCGGUAGCCGGACUGAGAGGUUGAACGGCCACAUUGGGACUGAGACACGGCCCAG
rnacentral:rRNA from 1 species